GGUUCGAUGGCGUAGUUGGUUAUCGCAUCUGUCUAACAUGGUAUCAUGCCCCGAAAGUUACACAGAAGGUCCCCAGUUCGAGCCUGGGUCGAAUCA